GUACAGAACAUAAGGGUAAAGUAUUUACCGGCACAUCCGUACGUUAUUCGAAAUUUUCAACAUAGACAUCACUUGGUUCUAUAACCCUAUUUUACUAUGUGUUCGAGUUAUGCAUUAGGUUUGGUUAGCUUAAUGUGCAGAUGGAAUAUCUCACCUUUUUAAAUUAUACCAAUACUAUCUUGCCCAUGAUGUUGCCAGACAACCUCUUUAAAUUGUCUUCAUGCUGAAUUUCUUAAGAUGUAGCUGAUGCUGUUUUUGUAAAUACAGGUGAUUCACAUGGAUUAUGGGAUGAAGGAGCAAAAUCCCAUCAACAACGUGCGCUUUUACUGCAAAUCUGACCCACUGCAAGCUAUAAAGAUAAGAAAAGAUCAGGUUAGUGCAAGGUGCUGUGUAAUGAGCGGCUAUUCAUAAGGGAGAAAAAGGGUGGGGGGGUUGUUAUGUGCUACACCCUACUGCUUGUAAUGUAAAGAAAAAUUAUACAGAAGUAAAAACAGAAGCAAU